ensembl:lncRNA
CUCAGUCUUCAGCUUCCUCCUUUUCGUCUUCAGAGUCAUGCCCCAGUCUUUUAUAGGUGACUCCUUGUCCUGUUUCUGAAAUGGGAAUGCUGAAGUGCACAAAAAUAAGUGUCUGCCAGUCCAUUGCAGGACGAAAGCUGCCUGGCAUUGCGUCACUGGACUGCAGAGAGGCAGGAAGAGCCAGGUUUGUCACCAGGAGCCCUUACGCAUACUCUGGAGUGGACACUGAAAAGUUUAAGUUACACAUAUGUAGUGCACAACUUAUGAAGAUGAGUCCUCCAGGUGAUGCAAGCCAAGUGAGUGGUAUGUUCUAAGGAUGCCAUGUAAAUCUACCUUUUUACACUUGAGGAGCUGACUGAUUUAAACUGCCAUCUCAGAAGCUGUGUAAGUUAGCCCGACAGUGUGCUAUGCUAUUCUGCUUGUCCAGAGCCUAGCCGGGCUGUUUGAAUAAGCCUUGUGAAUCUCUACAGUGCCCUGCAUUCACAGCAGAGACUACAGUAAGAGCCAUUUGCCUCAUUUUUAAUAUUGGCAUAGGUUCCAAAACACAAGGGUGCUUUAUAAAAUUUUCUGGCUUCCUGAUCUUCCUCUCCUUCCUGGACUUUCUUCCUCAUACCAAGUUUCAUCCCCACCAUCGCGCCCAAACAAAUACUCUGGUUAGACCUACGUGGGCAGCUCUCACGAACUCUGAGCGGCUGUUCUGCAUGCUCUGGGCUGCAUGACAGCCAUUGGCUAACAUACAUACACCAGAACAGAGGUUCUCCUGUCAGAGGAAAAGAUGUCAAGCUCAUAACUUAAGGAAAAAGGGCUCUAAAGGAGAUAAGAGUGUGAGAGACGUUACUGCAGUUCUAUAUUUGGAAUCAGUUACGUAUGUGUGUGGUAACCCAAACGAUGGGUGGACUGCGCUUUCCAAUUACCAUAAUUACAUUUCCUUUCAUAGCGAGGGUUGGGGACACAUCCAGACAUUGCAGAACACAUCAGUAGAUUUAGUGUGGCUUACUCAGUCUCCAUUUAUCAGACUGUGUCCCAGUUAUGUUACAUUUAGGAAGUAGAAUAAUUUUCUGGUUAUAGCACACAAAAUUUGUGGCAUUCUAAUCCUAGUCAUCCUACUGUACAGCCUUGAAGAAGUUAUUUUACUUCUCUUUGAUGGUAAAAAAUUAACUCACCUCAUGGAUAGACUUGAAUACUGUGCCAAGUUAAAAAAAAAAUGAUCUGAAUCUAAAGUUAGCCUUCUGUAUCCACAUUAAGGGGCUAAAUGGGGUUAUUUGUUUUCUGAAACCCCGAGCACCCAGCAACUGUCUCCCACUGAGGCCAAAUGGAGAUUUUGGGUGUUCAGCAUUCUGAAGCAUGAAGCAGAAGUACAGUGAUGCAGUUACUUGUGUGCAGGUGAAGAGAAGCUCACUGAUGUGGGGAAAGACAGAAACAGCAGCCUGUGCUAGUUGGUUGUCACAGUGACAGUGGUGGGGAGAGAUGCAUGUGUGACUAAUCUCAGUGAUUUUAUAGUCUAGAAGAGGGGUGUCUGCCUUUGGCUGGUUGUUCAAAAUCUCUUUGGUUGAUCUCUUGGUUCAGUGGGUCCAGAGAUGUUCUCAGUGGAGGCAGAUGAGCAUCCCCCAUUAUGUCAUUGAGUCUACUGUCUGGUUGCAGGAUGAGUUGUCCUCUGGAGAUGGUCAGCUCUGCCCACAGAUCACAGAGCUUCAUAAAUGCUCAGACAGCUUGCUCAGGCUCUGCUGACUGUGUAGUCAGUGGGUGAUUACAGUGCAUUAGCCAAGUCCAAGUGUGUUGCAGAGCUGCUCAUAGCUGCAGAGAAUGGUGGAAUCCUCCCACAAGCCUGAGAAAGUUGAUUCUGAAAGUUAUGAGCAAGUGAAAGCAGGGAGCAAUAGUUGAGACUUGCAAGGGAAAGGAAAUAUAAACCUGACAGUAGUCAGUGAAAACCUGUGCCGUAUUGAUGGCGUGGUUUGCUUCCACUGGGCAUCUUUGUUCUUUGGAGCAGAAUUUGAGAAGAAAGAUUAAUUUUCCCACGGGAGAAAUAAGCGAUGAAUAAGUCAGCUAAAAUGAAUUGUUCUUAUGUGCACCACACAUCUAUAGGAGAAACAGAAGACGUUUACAUGCUCCCUGAGGAGGAACCAUGACAAGCAGACAAUUAAGCAAUUCCCCCAGAUCCCUCGAUUUAAAGAACCACGUAAUGGCUUAAUUGAGUUGAGUUGCUGAGAGUGCAGCACUGCACUGAGAUUCGUGCUGUGAAGUGCGCGAUUCCCAGAGGCAUCCAUCAGGUUUUAAAGAAUUGACUUUCCAUGCUAAUUGACCCAGAUGUGCUUGAUUUUACCUCACAAUCUCUACUUUAUUCAAUUACUGCUAAAGAGAAGGGAAUGAGACAAAAAGAGUCCAUUUAUCUCAUGUACUAUAUUAAAAGGAAGCUUUCCCAAAGCAACAUCUUGUCGUGCUGAAACAAAUUGUUCAGCUUGAACUGGAGCAGCAUUUAUGCCACUUGUUUUUUAUUUCCCAGAUGACCGAGCACUUAUUUUGUAAGGAU